CUAUUAAUUCAGGUAUUAGUACAUGAUUAUUCAUGUACUGUUAUUGUAAAGUAUUACCCAAUGAACAUAAGAUGACUGAGGGUUCAAAUACACUAGACUAACAAAAGACUAAAUGAAGGACAGGUGAUGAAGAUGAAUUUUCAUGGUUACAAGCAAGGGUUGCUAUGGAAAUGGAAACACAGGGGUCUCAACCAGGCCCUCUAGGACUAUUGCUAGGUCCCACAUAGCGAUCCUGGUUCUAGAAGGGGGCCUCAGCCGCCUAGCUCCUCGAACGAAGUGAUAGAGCAGGACAUGCUUGCCCAACGGCACCCCGUCAAUCAGAGCUUGGCAAGCUGAAAGAGUGGCCACAUAAACCCUGAGAAUGGCGGGGCAUGUGCCUGUUGAUAAUUUUUCCUGCCGAAAAACCAGAAAAACCAGCAAUCUGGCAGUUAACCGGAUCUGCAUUGUGUGCAGUACACCAUCUUUCAAAUACACCCCAUUUGUUGGCAUAACUUAAUCUAGUGGAGGGAGCCCUAGCAUUUAAAAUGGUCUCGAUAACAUCAGGUGAAAGCCCUGUGUCCCUCAGUUGGUUUCCCUCAGGGGCCAGACAUGAAGGUUCCACAUCUCCGGCUGGGGAUGAAAUAUUGUCUGUAUGAAAUAUGUUCUGUGUCCUGGGCAAUAACAAGAAGCGAAUCACGUGGCGGCGGUUGUUACAGUGGUUUUGUAUGGGUGUCGGGUAGGAGCUGAUUGGCAAGGAAACUAACUGAGAAGAGAGAGGAAAUAUGAAAGAGAAGAAGAUGGAGACACAAUGAGACUCACCGCAAACGUGUCUGGAUGAAACCAGCAAAUACAAGACUUACAAAGCUGAAUUUAUCACAUUCAAAGAUGAUCUCAAAAGACAAAUGGAGACUGAAUCUGCAGAGUUUAAAGAACAAUGAAACAAAUACAGGAACAGAACAUCAAAGUCGAGAGAAUUAAGACAGAGAUUUAAGAGAAUGAACCAAUCACACAGUUUGAUGAUCAAUUCCUGUGUAAAUGAUGUAUCUCAAUAGAAACCUGUGUGUUACUUCAGCCAUUUUUUCUUUUUUAAUUCAGUCAUGUACGUAGUUGUCAUUUGAUUUACAGCAGUUAUCAUGUUAUUAUUAUUGUCAGGGUUAUGUUUAAUUUUGUUGUGUUUUUGUUCAUGUGUUCCUUGAGUUUCCUCUUGAUCUUAAUCACUCUCUGUUUCUGAUUAUUGUCACCUCUGUUCACUCGUGAAGCCCUGUGUAUUUAUACUCCUGCUUCUGAUCAGUUGAAUUCACACCUCAGAGUGUCACUCACACAAUGUCACAAUGCUGGUGUUUGGUGGGCGUUCUGGCACAAUAUGGCUGUCGUCGCAUCAUCCAGGUGGAUGCUGCACAUUGGUGGUGGUUCAGGAGAUUCCCCGUUCCAUAUGUAAAGUGCUUUGAGUACCCAGAAAAGCGCUAUAUAAAUAUCAAACUCAUGGUUAUGGUAAGGAGCGUGACACUUCCUGAACACAUUUUAAGCUGUUCCCCAAUCACAACACACUGGGCCAGGUAACCAAUCACAGCAUAUUUCAUAUGUCGUAAGGAGGGGCUUCAUUGAAACAGGAACGCCCCGGGUUACUUCACUGUAACCCUGUUCCCUGAAAAAGCGGGAACGAGAAGCUGCGCUUUAUCAGCGCUAUGGGAACAUCUUUAGUCGUGACCAGCUGCAAAUAUGUGUAUAAAACAUCAAUGAAAUUGACCUAUAUUUAUAGCCUGCGUGACGUCAUCGGAAUGCGCCGCAUGCAAGGCUAUAAUUAGAUGAACCACAGGUGCAUCUGCAGAUAUUUUGUCUGAAGAACAGUCCUGGGACAUCCCAGUGCGGCAAUGAAGCGCAGCUUCCCGUUUCCGCUUUUUCAGGGAACAGGGUUACAGUAAAGUAACCCGGGGCGUUCCCUUUCAGAACCUACACUGGAGCUGCGCUUUAUCAGCGCUAUGGGAACGAGAAUACCCCCAGGCUGUGAAGGGUGUCACAAAGCGCAGAGAGUCUCAGACACUAGCUUACGAUGUUGACUCAAGGACGCAAGAGCCCGGAGUAACAUGAACAUCCAAGCUAUAAAACCUUAUGGAUGUGUGCGGAGAGGACCAACCUGCCGCAUCACAAACAUUUUGCAAGGGGGCACCCCCUGCCAAAGCUCUAGAAGAGGCAACCCCCCUGAUGGAAUGAGCCCUGAUGCCUGUUGGCAAAGUUUGACCAUGCUCCUCAUAGGCAAGGGCAAUAGCAUCUCUCACCCAAUGUGACAUGGUCUGUUUCGUGGCGGCCGCACCCCUGUUGUGGCCGCUAUAAGAAAAAACAUUUUCAGAGCUUGUCAGAAACUGACUCUAACAGUUCAAAGGGGGUCUCAACCAGGCCCUCUAGGACUAUUGCUAGGUCCCACAUAGGGAUCCUGGUUCUAGAAGGGGGCCUCAGCCGUCUAGCUCCUCGAACGAAGUGAUAGAGCAGGACAUGCUUGCCCAGGAGCACCCCGUCAGUCAGAGCUUGGCAAGCUGAAAGAGCGGCCAAAUAAACCCUGAGAGUGGCGAGGCAUUUUCCCUGCCGAAAAACCAGAAAAACCAGCAAUCUGGCAGUUAACCGGAUCUGCAUUGUGUGCAGUACACCAUCUUUCAAAUACACCCCAUUUGUUGGCAUAACUUAAUCUAGUGGAGGGAGCCCUAGCAUUUAAAAUGGUCUCGAUAACAUCAGGUGAAAGCCCCGUGUCCCUCAGUUGGUUCCCCUCAGGGGCCAGACAUGAAGGUUCCACAUCUCCGGCUGGGGAUGAAAUAUUGUCCCCUGCGCCUGAGACAGAAGGUCCUUCCUCUUCAGUACCGCCACGGCGAGCUGUUGAGGAGAGACAUUAUGUCCGAGAACCAUAUUCUGUUCGGCCAACGCGGCGCUAUCAGUAAGAGGCAAGUCCCUUGUUGCCGAACUUUGGAAAGAACUCCUGGGAGCAUAGAAACCAGAGGAAACGCAUACAGGUGCAUUCUGGGCCACUGUUUGGGGUGACAAGGCUAGGUUGAAUGGCAGAAUGUGAUUCUGGUAAGCAAACCUCAGGAACUGCGUGCAUUGUGGCAAUAUCUCUAUGAAAAUGUGUGUCUUUAAGAUCAAUCACGAUGAUGAAUUUGCGACACAAUCAUUUUGAUAGAACUUGAGCAUUCUGAUGGAACAGCUCAAGCCUUGAUGAUUUUAGAAUUGGACGCAGGCCCCGUCUUUUCGAACCAGGAAGUAUUGACUGUAGUAGCCUGAUUUUCUCUCUGGGUGGGGAACAUGUUCUAUGGUCCCUAUGUCCAGCAAUGAUUGUCUUCACAGUAGAUGCACCUACUCGUUUCACGGUAGUGCAGACCACGCCAUUAAAACGAUGAGGGCAGUGGGUUUUUUUUUCUACUGUCUUUAAGACCCAAGGAGAGAUACCCAGCAGUAGCUUUCACGCUGCCAAAGUCUCUUAAAAGGUAUGCCAAUUUUAUUACUUCCUAUUGGGGAGUUAAAUGUUCUGUGUCCUGGGCAAUAACAGGAAGCAAAUCACGUGGCGGCGGUUGUUACAGUGGUUUUGUGUGGGUGUCGGGUAGGAGCUGAUUGAUGUAUUUUACAUGCCCCGUCCCGAAGGGGCACACCCGCACAGACCUGGGCACAAAAACACCCUAGGAGUUUUGUUUCAGGUGUAUUAUGAGGCUGCUGAGCGUAACGAGCCAGUCCCCAGUUUUUACGAGGGGAAGCACAACUCAUCACAGUCUGCUUAUGAGCCUUUCUUUCAGCAGAUCAGUCUGGUCCACCUGCAACACUGCCAUAGUGUGCAGAGCAGCAACACUUCAGUGUCCUCCGCCCGAGCCGAAGAAGCGCCGAGGCAUGCUUUAGUCCCGCCAAAAGGACAUCACGAUCCUGAGAGAGAGAGCGCAUUAGGGAUGGACCCAUCUCUUGCUCCUCAGCCAGAUCGCCACGCGAGCCCCACGAUUACAUUGUGGGUGCUACCCCUUUGAAAUAAGCAAAGCGAACGCGAAGCACUUAAACUGUGAACAUUCACAAUGUUUGCACUCGACCUGUUACAACGCAAGGGCAGCGUGUGCUCUUCCCCAAACAAACAAAACAAUACUGGUGUGUGUCCGAUUCGGAGAUCGCAAACACGGAGACACACUGUUUGCUUACUUUUCACUUGUCAGACAGAGUUGAAAAAGGAACAAAGGUAGAGAAAGUUCUGCGCACUGCCUGUCAAAUCUAACUCCUAACAAAGUGUUGAAGGAAGGAAAGAAUUUUGGCAGAGCUGCUUCACACACACUUCACAAUAUGGCCUCUGAAGACAAAAGACCUGCAUAUGCACCUGUGGUUCAUCUAAUUAUAGCAGUGUUUCUUAAACUUUUGCUGCCAUUCCCCACUUUGGAGGUAGGGAAGGGUUCCGAGCCCCACCUGUCCCCAAUUGCCCCAACAAAAUGUUAAUAAAUUAGGCUUUAAGUUUAACUGUUAAAAUGUAUUAACAUCUAUUUUAUUAACAUUACAUUUUAAAAACAUAACAUCAAAUAACAGCAUUAAAAACUUUGAAAUAGAGAAAAUAAAAGUGCGAUUAUAUUAUCACUUUGCAUUAUAAUAUAUUAUAUAUAAAUUAUAAAUUAAAUAAUAUUGACCAUUAUUUUAGAACGUUUCCCCUUAUUGUUUCCAUGGCAACGCGUCAUGCUCAUGUCACGUCACACAGCGCAGCCACAAUAACACUGUAUGAGAGAUGUAACGCUUUUAUUUCGUUUCUCCUUUUUUUAUUCAAAAUAUUCACAAACUUGCUUACCAUGUCAACUAUCUGAUAUUCCGAUUCUCAAAUAUGUGUAAGUGAGUGUGUUUUGUCGGUUAAAAACGUUAAUAAAUGAUCUUGAUCUAUAAUGCGAGAUGGGCGCCGCCAUGUUUGUUUUGCGCAGCUGUUCAGAGAGUCUUGUCAGUCGGAUUUACAGCACGUGAAUUCAUCAAUUCAAAGUAAGUGACCGGUAAUCUGGGAGAAAAAUAGAGUAAACUUUAUAGUUACUUACACUAUGUGUAUCUGCUAUGAAUAAAACACGUCAGCAAAUUAUAUUUGAAUUGAUUGUUACUGCUGCUUCCAUAGACAUCAGUGUGUAUUUUACAAACUCUAAAUGUAUUGUUUUACUAGUACUUAUGUAUAUUUAAAUGUCUGAAAUGUUUGUUCUAAAUUCCAUAUAUGGGACCGUACUCUCAGGGUCACAGAGAUAAAAAUCCCAUAUGUGGGACUCAAAAGGCUAAUAGAGAUGGGCACAAAAAUGACGAAAUUUCCUCUUGUUUGUCACGCCCCACUUGUCAUGUCUCUGUUCCUUCACUUUGAGAAACGCUGAAUUAUAGCCUUGCUUGUGGCGCAUUCCGAUGACGUCAUGCAGGCUAUAAAUAUAGGUCAAUUUCAUUGACGUUUUAUACACGUUCACAGCUGGUCACGACUAAAGAUGUUCCCAUAACGCUGAUAAAGAGUGUAGCUUUUGAAAGGCAACUAAACUGUCUGUUCAAGCCAGACAGGGAAGAGAAAGCAAAAAUAAUGUAAAAUAUGUGAAAAUGUGUUUUUUGAACAAUCAAGCUUGAAAACCUAAUCCAGUACACCCUAAAACAUGAUCAAGAGUUCAUAAAAGGGCAUAAUAGGACACCUUUAAGAAUAUUCAUAUGAUGUAUUAUGGGACUUUUAUUUUGAAACUCAACAUCAGACAGUCCUGACUCUGUGAGAGAGACACUCUGAAGUGAUGUGCUAUCAUUCUGAACUGAAACUAGUAAAUACUGAGAUUCCUUUAAAUAUACAUUUGAAUUUACAGAAGAAAAACAGCUUAUAAAUGAUUUUAGAAGGCUUUUACUUUGAAGUUAAUCAUCUGUCAUUGUUUGAGUGAAAUGUGUUGUUUGGCUUCAUUAAUGUGGGUAAAAAUACUGUAAAAGAGUUUUAUCAUACAAAUCUGUUUCUUCUUUCACAUACAGAUUCACAUUUCUUUCAUAAACCACAUUUUUAAGGUGUAAUUUCAACAUUGUGUUACGAUCUCUGUAUCUGAAAAUAGUGAGGAAAACAUUGCAAAUAAAAGUCUAAUUGUGCUUAUGUUCUAGAUUUACCAUUAGCUUUUUUUAUUUUAUUUUAUUAUUAUUAAUAUUAUUAUUACUACUAUCAUUAAUACUUUAUUAUUAUCAGUAGUAGUACUUUUAUGUAUGUUAUUAUUAUUAUUAUACACAUGUUUAUUUAUUAUUAUGAUUCAAUUUCUUUUCUGGUUUAAUUUUUUCCCUGUAUUGAUUAAUUAUUACUCUUUUACAUUGUAAUAUAUUUGUUCUUUCAUUUCAUGUGAACGUAUUUUGAGAAACAGCCUGAAAUGAAGAGUUAAAUUAACAGAAUUAUUAUUAUUCAUACCUUCGUACUGCAGAGACAAACACUUAUUUCAAACACUGUAUUUCCUUUCAGCAAUGAGUAAACGCAUAAAUAAUACAUUUAAAAUCAA